rfam:Gorilla gorilla gorilla genomic chromosome, chr13, whole genome shotgun sequence
GCUGGACAUGGUGGCACAUGUCUGUAGUCCCAGCUACUUGGGAGGCUGAGGCAGGAGGACUGCUUGAACCCGGGAGAUUGAGGCUGCAGUGAGCUAUGAUUAUGCCAUUGCACUCCAGCCUGGGUAACAGAGUAAGAUCCCGUCUCAA